UACGAAGGGGGCUAGCGUUGCUCGGAAUUACUGGGCGUAAAGCGCACGUAGGCGGUCUUUUAAGUCGGGGGUGAAAUCCUGGAGCUCAACCUCCAGAACUGCCUUCGAUACUGGAAGACUUGAGUCCGGGAGAGGUGAGUGGGAACUGCGAGUGUAGAGGUGAAAUUCGUAGAUAUUCGCAAGAACACCAGUGGCGAAGGCG
rnacentral:rRNA from 1 species